AGAAUCAACGCUGGCGGCGUGCCUAAUACAUGCAAGUCGAACGCGAAAGUCCCGCAAGGGAUGAGUAGAGUGGCAAACGGGUGAGUAACGCGUGGGUGACCUGCCUUCGAGUGGGGGAUAACGUUUCGAAAGGAACGCUAAUACCGCAUGACAUCCUGUUCUUUAACGGACGGAGAUCAAAGCCGGGGAUCGCAAGACCUGGCGCUUGAAGAGGGGCCCGCGUCCGAUUAGCUAGUUGGUGGGGUAAUGGCUCACCAAGGCAACGAUCGGU
rnacentral:rRNA from 1 species